CAUCGUCAAAACAUGUCUGACUUCCGUUCGAAACGCCAUUGUGUUCCGGAUUGAUAACAUUAUGUCGUGGUACAAAAUAGCUAUACACCGUUUAAUUGAACUCUUCUAACUAAGGAGGUGAGAUAGGAAUGAAAUCACCAAAACGCUUAGAAAAUAUGUCAAUUUUCUUCCUGUUUAAAGCUUUUAACUAACAUUGAUUAUCAGCUGUUUUGUACGGAAAACGUGGAAUCUAAGUAAUAUACCGUUUCCCUGCUCUGCUGCUAUUGGCAACACAUUUUUGUCAUGUCAUCUGCAACAGACGAUCAUACAUAUGUGGCGGAUUAUUGAUAUAGAUACAACUAGGUAGCAAUAGCAGUGGAAGCCCGGAUUUGCAAGCCAAAUGAGGGAAAGACAGAAUUCUGAAAAGGAGCAUGUUUUUCAUUUCCACACAUGCAUGUGUAUCACUAUGGACAUCUAAUGUUUUUGUGGGAUUUUGUCCAGCAGUUUGCCUUAAAAGAAUUUUUUUUAUAUUUUAGUUUCAUAUUUAUGUGGAUUCCAAUAAAAAUCAUACAAACUU